UGCACUUCUCAUGAGUGAAUUCGCAAAAUUUAUUGUUUAGUUUUUGAUAAAAACUCAUGUUAUUUACAACUAAUAUUUGCGUGCUAAAGGGAAAAUAAAACAAUAUUUAAUGGAUGUGGAGGCGUAUAAUUUGAUUCCGUAUUGCGGAACGACCAUGAGGAUUCGACAUGUCAUAGUUUCUUGAUUGAGGCGUGGGGAAAGCUGAUUCUCGGUGAAAGUCCGGCCUCGACUGUGCGCCCAUUGGUCAACCUGAUCCUGAUCCCAAUCAUCGGCCUUUGUGGGCAAGAAGUAGCCUACCUCGCUUGUUUAACUGCCCUGGCAAGAUGAAGGUAAUUUGCCAAAAAUCUGGAAGCUCUUAGUAAUCUGAAGCCACGAGAGACGAUUUGUAAGUGCAUGGCUUCGAGAUGGCUGCAACCGCUGUCGAUGGUAUCAUGCGUUCAUGAUGAUUCAGGAAUGCUUGAUUUCUGGUGAGAAUCAAAAGCUGCUCUACGCCAAGGAACAAUUAACUAUUGCAUCUGAAGUUUGAAAGACCACCGACUUUUGUGCUGUGAUCUGCGUGUUUCAAGUGAGAAGAUGCUCACAUGUCACCAUGCCAUUUCACAGGAUCGGCUUCCGUGUUUACGAUUACUCGCAAACCCCCGGCCAUCCCAGGUAAUUGCCGCGGAUAGACCGAACAGGGCAACGACUCAUACGGGCUGAUACUAGCGGCUCCUAUUAAAUCGACGUGCAAUGCCACCGGUCUAUGAGUGAUGGUCACCGGCAGUGAAAUCCAAUCUAAAAAUUUGCUGUAUUGAAUAACCUGAUCUGUGAACAUAAAAUAAAUUUUCUUCAGGAA